CACAUGCAAGUCGAACGGAGAUAUAACGCUGCAUGAGACUUCGGUCAAAGCUUGUUGUAUCUUAGUGGCGGACGGGUGAGUAACGCGUGGGCAACCUGCCUCAUACUGGGGGAUAACAGUUGGAAACGGCUGUUAAUACCGCAUAAGCGCACAGAGUCGCAUGACUCAGUGUGAAAAACUCCGGUGGUAUGAGAUGGGC
rnacentral:rRNA from 1 species